GACUACAGGGGUAUCUAAUCCUGUUUGAUCCCCACGCUUUCGUGCCUCAGUGUCAAUACAGGCCUAGUGAACUGCCUUCGCAAUCGGUGUUCUAUUACAUAUCUAAGCAUUUCACCGCUACAUGUAAUAUUCCAUCCACCUCGACCUGAUUCAAGCUAAGCAGUAUCAAUGGCAGUUUUAGAGUUAAGCUCUAAGAUUUCACCACUGACUUACAAAGCCACCUACGCACCCUUUAAACCCAGUGAAUCCGGAUAACGCUUGCACCCUCCGUAUUACCGCGGCUGCUGGCACGGAGUUAGCCGGUGCUUAUUCCUCUGGUACCUUCAAGCCGAUAUGAAUACCGGUUUUUAUUCCCAGAGAAAAGAAGUUUACAACCCAGAGGGCCUUAAUCCUUCACGCGGGAUGGCUGGAUCAGAGUUGCCUCCAUUGUCCAAUAUUCCCCACUGCAGCCGCCCGUAGG
rnacentral:rRNA from 1 species